rnacentral:lncRNA from 1 species
GCAUAUUUGGUAGAUUUUUCAUAUUUGAGCUUGAAUCGGAUCAUUUUUAAUUAAAUCAGUUAAAAUCGUUCACAUAAACUAAUUGAUUCAAAUGAAAUAGACACUUCAGUGUAUAAAAAGUGGUCAAAAUCUUUCGUCAGAUGAACCUGAAAUUUGAGGCCAAAAUCGGUCAUUACCGGACCUACUCCUUUCAUAUUUUAAGAUGCAUCUAUUGUCAUGAUUGUAAAUAUGUCAAGAUAAAAACAAAAGUUAUCUAUGCAAAUUACAAAAGGUCCACAGGUUUUUAAGUUAACACUCAUGAAAAUAAAAUAAACA